GAGAGUUUGAUCCUGGCUCAGGACGAACGCUGGCGGCGCGCCUAACACAUGCAAGUCGAACGAGAGUUGAAGAGCUUGCUCUUCAAAUCGAGUGGCGAACGGGUGAGUAACGCGUGAGGAACCUGCCUCAAAGAGGGGGACAACAGUUGGAAACGACUGCUAAUACCGCAUAAGCCCACGGCUCGGCAUCGAGCAGAGGGAAAAGGAGCAAUCCGCUUUGAGAUGGCCUCGCGUCCGAUUAGCUAGUUGGUGAGGUAACGGCCCACCAAGGCGACGAUCGGUAGCCGGACUGAGAGGUUGAACGGCCACAUUGGGACUGAGACACGGCCCAGACUCCUACGGGAGGCAGCAGUGGGGAAUAUUGCACAAUGGGGGAAACCCUGAUGCAGCGACGCCGCGUGGAGGAAGAAGGUCUUCGGAUUGUAAACUCCUGUUGUUGAGGAAGAUAAUGACGGUACUCAACAAGGAAGUGACGGCUAACUACGUGCCAGCAGCCGCGGUAAAACGUAGGUCACAAGCGUUGUCCGGAAUUACUGGGUGUAAAGGGAGCGCAGGCGGGAGAACAAGUUGGAAGUGAAAUCCAUGGGCUCAACCCAUGAACUGCUUUCAAAACUGUUUUUCUUGAGUAGUGCAGAGGUAGGCGGAAUUCCCGGUGUAGCGGUGGAAUGCGUAGAUAUCGGGAGGAACACCAGUGGCGAAGGCGGCCUACUGGGCACCAACUGACGCUGAGGCUCGAAAGUGUGGGUAGCAAACAGGAUUAGAUACCCUGGUAGUCCACACCGUAAACGAUGAUUACUAGGUGUUGGAGGAUUGACCCCUUCAGUGCCGCAGUUAACACAAUAAGUAAUCCACCUGGGGAGUACGACCGCAAGGUUGAAACUCAAAGGAAUUGACGGGGGCCCGCACAAGCAGUGGAGUAUGUGGUUUAAUUCGACGCAACGCGAAGAACCUUACCAAGUCUUGACAUCCCUUGACGAACAUAGAAAUAUGUUUUCUCUUCGGAGCAAGGAGACAGGUGGUGCAUGGUUGUCGUCAGCUCGUGUCGUGAGAUGUUGGGUUAAGUCCCGCAACGAGCGCAACCCUUAUGGUCAGUUACUACGCAAGAGGACUCUGGCCAGACUGCCGUUGACAAAACGGAGGAAG
rnacentral:rRNA from 1 species